rnacentral:rRNA from 1 species
GUAGGCGAAGCGGUCUGGAAAGACCCGUCAGAGAAGGUAACAACCCUGUAGCCAAAACCUUGUUCUCUCCUGAGGUGAUCCUGAGUACGGCGGGACACGUGAAAUCCCGUCGGAAGCAGGGAGGACCAUCUCCCAAGGCUAAAUACUCCCUAGUGACCGAUAGUGAACCAGUACCGUGAGGGAAAGGUGAAAAGCACCCCGGGAGGGGAGUGAAAUAGAACCUGAAACCGUGUGCCUACAAGUAGUUAGAGCCCGUUAAUGGGUGAUAGCGUGCCUUUUGUAGAAUGAACCGGCGAGUUACGAUUACGUGCGAGGUUAAGGGCAUUAGGCCUGGAGCCGGAGCGAAAGCGAGUCUGAAAGGGGCGAUGAGUACGGUGUCGUAGACCCGAAACCGAGUGAUCUAGCCAUGCGCAGGGUGAAGGUUGGGUAAAGCCAAC